rnacentral:rRNA from 1 species
AGUAAUUAAAAAUAUUUAGAUGAUCUCUCACGAAGGCUAGUGAGCUAAACAAGUAUAUAAAUAAGAAAAUAUACGUGGUAUAGUAUAUAUAUAAUAUUUGUUUAGGGGUGAUAGGCUUUUCAAACUGUUCGAUAUCUUGAUUCAUAUGAAAAGUAUUUAGUACAUAUACAUAUUUAAAAAGCUAAGCUUUUAAGUGUAAAUUAAUAAUAUUUCUAACUUGUAACAUAGUAUAAUGGCUUGUUAUUAGAAAUCCAAAUAUCCAUGAUUGAUUUUUAUUAUAAGUAUUAUGACAAUUUAUUCUUAACAAUAAUUGGAGAAUGUUACUAUUAGUAGUUAUUGCAAAUAUAUUUAAGGAACUCGGCAAAUAGCCUCUCAACUGUUUAUCAAAAACAUAGCUAUAUGCACUAAUAUAUAGUUAUUUCUGCUCCAUGAUUAUUAAAUAGCCGCAGUACUUUGACUGUGCAAAGGUAGCAUAAUCAGUUGGCUUUUAAUUGGAGUCUGGUAUGAACGAAAACAUGGGUGGCGACUGUCUAAAUAUAUUUUUUCUAACUUUUUAAUCAAGUGAAAAUACUUGUGCUAAUAAAAAAGACGAGAAGACCCUAGAAACUUGAAAAGUUUUUUGUUGGGGCGACAGAGUUACAUAUAACUAAUUUUAUAGAGCAUGACAUUAAUUAGAAAGGAUAAGUUACUCUAGGGAUAACAGCAUAAUUUUAAUAGUUUGUGACCUCGAUGUUGGAUUAGGUACUAUACCCUUUAGGCAAGGGUAUAAGACGCUCUGUUCGAGCAAAUAUACCUACAUGAUCUGAGUUCAGACCGG